GUGGGGAAUAUUGGACAAUGGGGGAAACCCUGAUCCAGCCAUGCCGCGUGUGUGAAGAAGGCCUUCGGGUUGUAAAGCACUUUAAGCAGGGAGGAAAGGGUGUUGGCUAAUAUCCAGCAUCAUUGACGUUACCUGCAGAAUAAGCACCGGCUAACUUCGUGCCAGCAGCCGCGGUAAUACGAAGGGUGCAAGCGUUAAUCGGAAUUACUGGGCGUAAAGCGCGCGUAGGCGGUUUGGUAAGUGUGAUGUGAAAGCCCCGGGCUCAACCUGGGAAUUGCCUCACAGACUGCUAAGCUAGAGUACGGGAGAGGGGGGUAGAAUUCCACGUGUAGCGGUGAAAUGCGUAGAGAUGUGGAGGAAUACCGGUGGCGAAGGCGGCCCCCUGGGCCUGUACUGACGCUCAUGCACGAAAGCGUGGGGAGCAAACAGGAUUAGAAACCCCAGUAGUCC
rnacentral:rRNA from 1 species